GGGUCGUUAGCUCAGUUGGUAGAGCAGUUGACUUUUAAUCAAUUGGUCGCAGGUUCGAAUCCGACCCCCCCCCUCA
rnacentral:tRNA from 1 species